CGGGCCGUAGUAUAGUGGUAGUAUACGUGCUUUGGGAGCACGCGGUUUGGGUUCGAUUCCCAACGGCCCGACCA
rnacentral:tRNA from 1 species